AUACCUUUCUCGUCCUUUUGGCUAAGAUCAAGUGUAGUAUCUGUUUUUGUCAGUUUAAUAUCUGAUACGUGGACCAUUGGUUCACUAUGAUAUUAAAUUAAUUUUUAUUUUUUGUUUUGGAGAGGGAUCAUUACAAUAGCUUGCUACUGGAUCCUUCACGUGUUAUCCCUGUGUUGCACUUUUAUAGGGGUUUGACGCACCCGAC